rnacentral:rRNA from 1 species
CUCAACCGAGGAAUGGCCUGUGAAACCACUGUACUUGAGUGCUGGAGAGGGAAGUGGAAUUCCCAGUGUAGCGGUGAAAUGCGUAGAUAUUGGGAGGAACACCUGUAGCGAAGGCGGCUUCCUGGACAGACACUGACGCUGAGGCGCGAAAGCCAGGGGAGCAAACGGGAUUAGAUACCCCGGUAGUCCUGGCUGUAAACGAUGAACACUUGGUGUGGGGGAUGUUAAGGUUCUCCGUGCCGGAGAAAACUCGUUAAGUGUUCCGCCUGGGGAUUACGGCCGCAAGGCUGAAACUCAAAGGAAUUGACGGGGGCCCGCACAAGCGGUGGAGCAUGUGGUUUAAUUCNACGCAACGCGAAGAACCUUACCGGGGUUUGANCUGUGCGUGACACCUGCAGAGAUGUAGGGUUCCUUCGGGACGC